rnacentral:lncRNA from 1 species
AUGGGGGCGUGCUUGGUCCUUUUUUUUCCUGUAGUCCACAAUCAUCUCCUUUGUCUUGAUCACGUUGAGGGAGAGGUUGUUGUCCUGGCACCUCCCGGCCAGGUCUCUGACCUCCUCCCUAUAGGCUGUCUCAUCGUUGAGGGAGAGGUUGUUGUCCUGGCACCUCCCGGCCAGGUCUCUGACCUCCUCCCUAUAGGCUGUCUCAUCGUUGAGGGAGAGGUUGUUGUCCUGGCACCUCCCGGACAGGUCUCUGACCUCCUCCCUAUAGGCUGUCUCAUCGUUGAGGGAGAGGUUGUUGUCCUGGCACCUCCCGGACAGGUCUCUGACCUCCUCCCUAUAGGCUGUCUCAUCGUUGAGGGAGAGGUUGUUGUCCUGGCACCUCCCGGACAGGUCUCUGACCUCCUCCCUAUAGGCUGUCUCGUCGUUGAGGGAGAGGUUGUUGUCCUGGCACCUCCCGGCCAGGUCUCUGACCUCCUCCCUAUAGGCUGUCUCAUCGUUGAGGGAGAGGUUGUUGUCCUGGCACCUCCCGGCCAGGUCUCUGACCUCCUCCCUAUAGGCUGUCUCAUCGUUGAGGGAGAGGUUGUUGUCCUGGCACCUCCCGGACAGGUCUCUGACCUCCUCCCUAUAGGCUGUCUCAUCGUUGAGGGAGAGGUUGUUGUCCUGGCACCUCCCGGACAGGUCUCUGACCUCCUCCCUAUAGGCUGUCUCAUCGUUGAGGGAGAGGUUGUUGUCCUGGCACCUCCCGGACAGGUCUCUGACCUCCUCCCUAUAGGCUGUCUCAUCGUUGAGGGAGAGGUUGUUGUCCUGGCACCUCCCGGCCAGGUCUCUGACCUCCUCCCUAUAGGCUGUCUCAUCGUUGAGGGAGAGGUUGUUGUCCUGGCACCUCCCGGACAGGUCUCUGACCUCCUCCCUAUAGGCUGUCUCGUCGUUGUCGGUGAUCAGGCCUACGGUUCUGGUCUGGGUUGUUUUAUGGGACGCUGCAUAUUUCUGACCGGUCUCAUCAUGUCAAAGCUUUUAAUCAUAACAGCUGGUGAGCAUAGCCUGGUCCCAGAUCAGUUUGUUCUCUUGAUAACUCCAAUGCUGUCAUUGUCAAGCUAA